rnacentral:rRNA from 1 species
ACAAGCGGUGGAGCAUGUGGUUUAAUCGAAGCAACGCGAAGAACCUUACCAGGCCUUGACAUGCAGAGAACUUUCCAGAGAUGGAUUGGUGCCUUCGGGAACUCUGACACAGGUGCUGCAUGGCUGUCGUCAGCUCGUGUCGUGAGAUGUUGGGUUAAGUCCCGUAACGAGCGCAACCCUUGUCCUUAGUUACCAGCACGUUAUGGUGGGCACUCUAAGGAGACUGCCGGUGACAAACCGGAGGAAGGUGGGGAUGACGUCAAGUCAUCAUGGCCCUUGCGGCCUGGGCUACACACGUGCUACAAUGGUCGGUACAAAGGGUUGCCAAGCCGCGAGGUGGAGCUAAUCCCAUAAAACCGAUCGUAGUCCGGAUCGCAGUCUGCAACUCGACUGCGUGAAGUCGGAAUCGCUAGUAAUCGUGAAUCAGAAUGUCACGGUGAAUACGUUCCCGGGCCUU